AGCCAUGCGAGUCGCGAGAAUUAGAUUCUCGGCGUACCGCUCAGUAACACGUGGGUAACCUGCCCUAUGCUGGAUAAUAACCUCGGGAAACUGAGAAUAAUGAUCCAUAGUUCACUACGCCUGGAACGGUGAGUGGAUGAAAGCUCCGGCGGCAUAGGAUGGGCCUGCGGCGUAUCAGGUUGUAGGGGGUGUAACGUACCCUCUAGCCCUCUACGCGUACGGGUGUUGGGAGACAUAGCCCGGAGAUGGAUUCUGAGACACGAAUCCAGACCCUACGGGGUGCAGCAGGCGCGAAAACUUGGCAAUGCGAGAAAUCGUGACCAGGGAACUCCAAGUGCAUCGGGUAAGAACCGGUGCUUUUUCUUGACUCUAAAUAAGUCUUGGAAUAAGGGGUGAGGUAAGACGGUGGCCAGCCGCCGCGUAAUACCGGCGCCUCAAGUGGUAGUCGUUUUAAUGGGCCAAAACGUCCGAAGCCGGUUGGACCUUCGUGGGUAAACCACUUGCUCACGAGUUGAAUCUGGAAGGACGCCCAACUUGGACCGAAAAGGGGGUAUCCUCAGGGAGGGUAAAUCGUGCUCCUGAAGACCCUGUUGAAGCCCACAUAAAACGAUCCAAAGCAGGACAACCUAGGCACAACGAUUAAUACCGGAUCCUAGGU
rnacentral:rRNA from 1 species